UGAGGGAGAAAGUGGGGGAUCUUCGGACCUCACGCUAUCAGAUGAGCCUAGGUCGGAUUAGCUAGUUGGUGGGGUAAAGGCCUACCAAGGCGACGAUCCGUAACUGGUCUGAGAGGAUGAUCAGUCACACUGGAACUGAGACACGGUCCAGACUCCUACGGGAGGCAGCAGUGGGGAAUAUUGGACAAUGGGCGAAAGCCUGAUCCAGCCAUGCCGCGUGUGUGAAGAAGGUCUUCGGAUUGUAAAGCACUUUAAGUUGGGAGGAAGGGCAGUAAGUUAAUACCUUGCUGUUUUGACGUUACCAACAGAAUAAGCACCGGCUAACUUCGUGCCAGCAGCCGCGGUAAUACGAAGGGUGCAAGCGUUAAUCGGAAUUACUGGGCGUAAAGCGCGCGUAGGUGGUUCAGCAAGUUGGAUGUGAAAUCCCCGGGCUCAACCUGGGAACUGCAUCCAAAACUACUGAGCUAGAGUACGGUAGAGGGUGGGUGGAAUUUCCUGUGUAGCGGUGAAAUGCGUAGAUAUAGGAAGGAACACCAGUGGCGAAAGCG
rnacentral:rRNA from 1 species